AGUGGAAAAGUGGAGCCUGCACCGCCCGCUUUCUGCACCCCCGGACACCGCCCCGGUCUCACGCAUGCGCAGGCCGAUCCAGUUCUUUUCGGCUGGAAUGGGGAAUUUGUGAGGUCAAGGAUGCAUUCCAGGAAAGUUCCAUAAAAAUAUACCAUCAACUCCAACCUGAUAUUUGACCUAGCUGUGGAAAACCUCAUUGGCUCCUCACUAGAUCAGACCAUAAAAAUGAUUCAGGAAUGAAAAUCUAAGAUAAAUUCCCACCACUUCAAGAUGUUCUUAUACAAGUCAACAGUCUAGCAGAUCAGCCAGUCUCUUUCAUCAUCAAGCAGACAUACUCAAGAAAGAGGAAUAGUGAAGUGAAAUAUACAGAAGCAUGUUCAAGUUCAUCUGUUGAAUGUGGAAUUGUGAAUAGUGACAAUAUUGAGAAAAAUACUGACUCCAAUCUGCAAACUUCAACUUCAUUUGAGCCACAUUUCAAAAAAAAAAAAAAGAAAAAUUUGAAACAUUAAGGGAAAACAGUUGGGUAAAAGAUCCAUUUGCUUUUCGAAACCUUGAAUCAAUAAUUGAGCUAAACUUGGUGCCUGAAGAAGAGAAUGAAUUAUUGCAGCUUAGUUCUUCAUAUACAUUGAAGA
rnacentral:sRNA from 1 species